GUGAAUCAUCGAAUUUUUGAACGCAAAUUGCACUCUCUUCGGAGAGUAUGCCUGUUUGAGGGUCAGUAUUAAUAAAAAUCAGUUAGUUGCUUCUUUGUGACGCUCUUGGGUGUGGGUCAUCUUAAUAUCCUUUAGGUUUUAAUAGGCUUAAAAUUGACUUUUUUUGCGUAUUUUAGAUGUUCAUAAAUUCUUUUUUUUAUUCGUCUGUCUUAAUGUUCAUGAUCCUAUGAGCUGCGACCAUAUCGUGUGUUUUCGUGUUUAUCA
rnacentral:misc_RNA from 1 species